UACGUAGGGUCCAAGCGUUAUCCGGAAUCACUGGGCGUAAAGCGUGCGUAGGUGGACUUUAAGUGCAAUGCGAAAUCCUGUGGCUCAACCAUAUGGACUGUAUUGCAUACUGGAAGUCUGGAGGACAUGGAGAGGCAAGGUGGAAUUACCGGUGUAGCAGUGAAAUGCGUAGAUAUCGGUAGGAACACCAAUGGCGAAGGCAGCUUGCUGGCAUGUUCUGACGCUAAGGCACGAAAGCGUGGGGAGCAACAGG
rnacentral:rRNA from 1 species